UACGUAGGGUGCGAGCGUUGUCCGGAUUUAUUGGGCGUAAAGAGCUCGUAGGCGGCUUGUCGCGUCGGAUGUGAAAGCCCGGGGCUUAACUCCGGGUCUGCAUUCGAUACGGGCAGGCUAGAGUGUGGUAGGGGAGAUCGAAUUCCUGGUGUAGCGGUGAAAUGCGCAGAUAUCAGGAGGAACACCGGUGGCGAAGGCGGAUCUCUGGGCCAUUACUGACGCUGAGGAGCGAAAGCGUGGGGAGCGAACAGG
rnacentral:rRNA from 1 species